rnacentral:tRNA from 6 species
GCCCUGGUAGCUCAGUGGAUAGAGCAACCCCCUCCUAAGGGGUAGGUCACACGUUCGAUUCGUGUUCAGGGCGCCA